rnacentral:rRNA from 1 species
GAUGAACGCUGGCGGCGUGCCUAAUACAUGCAAGUCGAGCGAACAGACGAGGAGCUUGCUCCUCUGACGUUAGCGGCGGACGGGUGAGCAACACGUGGAUAACCUACCUAUAAGACUGGGAUAACUUCGGGAAACCGGAGCUAAUACCGGAUAAUAUAUUGAACCGCAUGGUUCAAUAGUGAAAGACGGUUUUGCUGUCACUUAUAGAUGGAUCCGCGCCGCAUUAGCUAGUUGGUAAGGUAACGGCUUACCAAGGCAACGAUGCGUAGCCGACCUGAGAGGGUGAUCGGCCACACUGGAACUGAGACACGGUCCAGACUCCUACGAGAGGCAGCAGUAGGGAAUCUUCCGCAAUGGGCGAAAGCUUGACGGAGCAACGCCGCGUGAGUGAUGAAGGUCUUCGGAUCGUAAAACUCUGUUAUUAGGGAAGAACAAAUGUGUAAGUAACUAUGCACGUCUUGACGGUACCUAAUCAGAAAGCCACGGCUAACUACGUG